AGAAUCAACGCUGGCGGCGUGCCUAACACAUGCAAGUCGAACGAGAAAGUGGAGCAAUCCACGAGUAAAGUGGCGCACGGGUGAGUAACACGUGACUAACCUACCCUUGAGUGGGGGAUAACCUAGGGAAACCUGGGCUAAUACCGCAUGAUACCUACGGGUCAAAGGAGCAAUUCGCUUAAGCGAGGGGGUCGCGGCCGAUUAGUUAGUUGGCGGGGUAAUGGCCCACCAAGACUAUGAUCGGUA
rnacentral:rRNA from 1 species